rnacentral:lncRNA from 1 species
GGUUGCCAUAAGGAAAGAUGAUGGGCUGCAAAUGAAGCACAUUGCUCUGUGACCAAGGCUCUUACGUUUUACGGGUCACUGUUUCAAAGGAUCUGGGUCCCACCGUGACAGAAGCCACUUUGGCUACUUCUCACCUAUAGGACUAGCAAAAUCACAUAGUUAACUGGGAUUCAUUUGGUUGUUGAUGCUAACGUCUCACCAUCAGCAAUUCAGAGUCUCUGACAUACCUACUGCGUCAGCCAGCGUUCACUAGAGAAACCGAUUUCAUAUAAUAAACAAAGAGGUAGGCUUACAACGCACAUCUGUGAUGUCGGGUGUGGAAGCGCUCAAAAGGAAUGUCUGCACGCUGGAGAUCCAAAGGGUCCAGUCAAAGAUCAAAGGCCGGGACCUCACUGCAGAGUCUCGUCAGUUCAUGCUCCGUAAGUGGAGAAUCACUGUUCAGUAACAUACUGGAUUGUCAGUGCUAAAGAUCCUGAACUCACCCAGAUGAGGCCAAACGCUCAGGCAGAGCCUUGAGAAAAAGAGAUUGGAAUGGAGUCCCAUCCCAGAUUGAUACCCGGUACCAAACACAAGGAGAAAAAAUUCGUGCAGGAUGAGGUAACACUGUUUGUCAAUCAGUUUCUAAAUUUGGAGUCAGUCCAGAAAACCCAGGAGGAAGUUCAACUCAGCCAGAUAAUCAGCAGAAAAUCCACCCCACGUGACGUCCCCCACCCCACCGCGGCUGAUCUUUUCAUGUAUUCUUUAUAAGGAAUCCAUUGAACUUUAAUUAAUAUGAAAAAUUCAGGUUUUCAUCUGAUUUAAAUGUGGCUGACAUCACGCUGCUUCUAAAAGUGGAACAAAGUACAAGCAUGGUGAAAAUAAAACUUAAAACCUGGUUCCUGCCAGAGUUUUAUUUUCUCUCUGCCAAAUCAUCUCCAGCAUUUCCACGAGGCAUGAAUGAGAUGUAUCUAGAGCAAUUUUUCUGAAAUCCUCCUGCCCUUAUGUAUAAUCAGAGACUUGAAAUAUAUCUGUAUAUAGGAG